CUUCCUUUGUGGGGUGACUUUUAAAGCAAAAACUCAGUACGUGAAUUCAUUCAAAAUUAGCUCAAUCUUAAAUAUCUACAGCAGUAAAUAAUUACAUGCAUUAAAACGAUAUUAAUAUGAAGUUAUAACACUGAGGGAUCAUUUUUUAAUGCAGAGUGAUCGUUUUUAUUAACUUCAAUAACUUACAUAGUUUGUUUUUAAUGCAUAACUUUACACUUUCAGGACUGAAUCACCCUUGGACAGUUUUGAUACUCACUUGUUCAUUUGCACACGACGGACCCUCCUCAGGAGGUGUCGACGUCUGUUGAGCAGGUUGUGGGUUGCUGCGGGGGGGUAUUCAUAUUCAGUGAACUGCGAACAGGUGCCCGUGUCAGAAGGAAGCGCGAGAUUCAGUGAAUUGCGAACAGGAUGCAGAUUUGAGUGCCCAUUCCUCGUCAAGAUUGUGACAUGAUAAGUUAGGUGUCAACAACAGCCCACAGUACAGUAUGUGUCCUCUGGGCGUGUUA
ensembl:lncRNA